AGCACAUGGACAAAGACAACGAUGCUACGGGUGACGGUUUGGACUCUGAUUUCGAGCAACCCAGUGGGCACGGUGUAAAUAGCAGUGAUGGUGAAAGGGAGAGGAUGAAUGAUGAGCCUGAAAAACACUCCCUUGAUGAGCGCACAGACAAAGACAGCGAUGGCACGGGU